CACGUAGGGUGCAAGCGUUGUCCGGAAUCAUUGGGCGUAAAGAGCUCGUAGGCGGCUUAGUAAGUCGGGUGUGAAAACCCCAGGCUCAACCUGGGGACGCCACCCGAUACUGCUAUAGCUAGAGUCCAGUAGGGGAGUGUGGAAUUCCCAGUGUAGCGGUGAAAUUCGUAGAUAUUCGGAGGAACACCAGUGGCGAAGGCGGCUCACUGGUCCAUUACUGACGCUGAGGUGCGAAAGCGUGGGGAGCAAACAGG
rnacentral:rRNA from 1 species